GGGAGUGUGGUGUAGUGGUUUGAGUGUUGGACUCCGAUUUUGGUGGCCAGGGUUCAAAUCCCUUUUGCUUUCCCA